CAUUGGAACGUGAUGAAAUGAAAGAUGGCAGCACUGGUGAUUUCAGUGGCGAGUUAGAUAGCCAAUUGUAAAUAGAGGAGACUUCGAAAUGAGAAGAAAAUUGAUUGAACGAGACAUUAGUAGAUAAUAUAUAUUUACCAAAAUUGAAAUGGAAGAUAAGGAAGGGAAGUAAAUCCGGUUGAUUACAAUACUAAUUUAAGUCACGAUGAAAAUCAUCAGUUUCCGAAACAGGCUCCUGUUAAUGACGCAAUUGCUUCGAAAUGCAGAGAAGGAAAUCCAAGAGAGGGACAGCAACGCAGCAUAUCCUGUCAUGUUGUUCGUGCGUAUAAGUUAUAGACGGUGUUUCACUAUGAAUUCAAUGUUAUAAAGCCAAACUUCCUUCUCUCAGAGGGUAAGGGAAACUUUGACGAGCCCCAUGGAUUUCCGAUUACAUAAGCAGCAGAUGAUAACAUUGAGAAAUGCUUACGGAUUGUCGCGCUUAAUUGUUAAGGAAAACUAUGGCAUUUAAUGCUCAUGGAAUGCGAUCUCUCGUUUAAACCGCAUGUAUAUACAAUAAUAAUAUACAGCCGUUACACAUACUUAUUAAGAUCUUUCUUUGCACAUACGAGGUCCAACGAUUAAAUGCUUGCAUAAACAAGGA